rnacentral:lncRNA from 1 species
CACCUGCUGCAUAAGGAAGCUCCCAGGCUAGGGGUCAAAUCAGAGUUGCAGCCGCCAGCCUACACCACAGCCACAGCAAUGCUGGAUCCGAGCCGCGUCUGCAACCCACACCACAGCUCACGGCAACACCGAAUCCCUAACCCACUGAGCAAGGCCAGGAAUCAAACUCCUAUCACAUUGGGUUUGUUACUGCUGAGCCACAAUGCAAAGUCCAAAGCCUUGGAUUUAAGCUUUGCCGGUGACUUCAAGAGAGAUGGCAAAAAAAAACCCUCUCUAUCAUACACCACAUAAACACACACACAGUAAUUUUUAUUAAGCCUUAUAUGGUGCUGAUUUCACGAACCGCUAAACCACGAUACAGUACUUAUUGCAAGGUAGGGUUCUUGUGAUGAGAAAAAAAAAAAAAAAUAUGGACAAACUGAAGUAAUGCUUGAAGUUAGCAUAAGGGGAUUUUCUAUUUCUGGAAGCCUGUCUGUCUGCUGCUGUUACUCUAAAAGAUGGAGUAUCCCUCUCCCCACUAUCAAACAGCCCUAUGCUAAAGUCAGUCAGGACAUAGAGGCAGGGGGCUGCACUGGGGCACCGCAAGUCCCAGGCCUGUUGCAAGAAGGCAGUGGAACAAGAGGCUGGGUGCCCUCUUAGGUGGCAGAGACACAAGGUCCCCACAGGGACAGCUUCGUGCGUUCUAAGGCAAGACACAGGAAAGGGUUGAGAGGACUUAGAACUGACGUCAGGUGAAGAUGAGGCUAAUGGAGCUGCUGUUAUGGGAGCCAUUGUUCCUAUGGUCAUUCCUGUGGAUACAAAUGCUCCAGGGUGGACAGCUUUGCUGGAGCAAAGUAGCCUUGUCAACAGUGUAAAAUAAAAAUGAAAAGAUAUUUCCAGAGUUCUCAACAUGGCUCAGUGGUUAACGAAUCUGACUAGCAUCCAUGAGGAUGCAGAUUCUAUCCCUGGCCUUGCUCAUUGGGUUAAGGAUCCAGGGUUGCCGUGAACUGUGGUAUAGGUCGCAGAUAUGGCUUGGGUCCUGCAUUGCUGUGGCUGCUGUGUAGGCUGGCAGCUACAGCUCCGAUUUGACCCCUAGUUUGAGAACCUCCAUAUGCUAUGGGUGCAGCCGUAAAAAGCAAAAAAAAAAAAGGUAUUUCCAUGGACUGGGAGUUUGGGGUUAGUAGGUGCAAACUAUUGCAUUUGGAGUAGAUAAGCAAUGAGAUCCUGCUGUGUAGCACAGGGAACUGUAUCUAAUCAUUUGUAAUGGAACAUGAUGGAGGAUAAUGAGAAAAAGAAUAUAUAUAUAUAGAUGACCGGGUCACUUUGCUAUACAGCAGAAAUUGACAGAACAAUAUAAAUCAAUUAUAAUAGAAAAAAGUAAAAACCUAAAAACUAAAAAAUAAGAAAAGAAAAAAAUGGAAGGUAUUUCCUACCCACUUACCAAUCCAUCUAGCCCACCCAUCUAGCCCACCCCUGCCUCUGCUGCCUCCCCAGUCCACACUACCCAACCUCCAUCAUCCAUUUCUCCUGCUCUGGAUGCAGCUUCCUAGGGUCAGAACACCUCCAUAUUGAACUGAAUUGUUGGCCCAUUCAACAUCCGGGGAAGAAGAGAAAGAAGAGACAAGAAACCUCUAUUGGAAAUUCCGGGAGCCUCAUCAUAAAUAGAUGAGACAAAUCCACAAAGAACAAGGGAUCUAGGCAACUAGAUACCGACUGAAAACUCAGUUGUUGUCAUGAUGACUGUUGGGUGGUAGAUACAUGGGAGUCCAUCGUUCUACUCUAUCUACUUCUGGAGGUGUUUGAAAUUUUCCAUAAGAAGAGAUAAAGAAGAGGCAGAGAAGGAGAAGAGGCAAAAGGGUGGGGGGAGAGGAAGUGGAGAACUUCACUAUCCCAACCGGACCAAUGGGCCACAGCUAACCCCAGCCUUUCUUUUUUUUUUUUUUUUUUGGUCUUACUGCCUUUACUAGGGCUGCUCCCUCGGUGUAUGGAAGUUCCCAGGCUAGGGGUCCAAUUGGAGCUGCAGCUGCCAGCCUACACCAGAGCCACAGCAACGCAGGAUCCAAGCUGUGUCUGCGACCUACACCACGGCUCACGGCAACGCCAGAUCCUUAACCCACUGAGCAAGGCCAGGGAUCGAACCCGCAACCUCAUGGUUCCUAGUCAGAUUUGUUAACCACUGAACCACAAUGAGAACUCCUAGACUUUCCUAAAGACCUUAACAGGGGAGCGGGUGCCUCAUUUAACCCAAAAUCUUCCCACUUCUGGUCCCAACCAAUCUGACCCAAUGCCCCAUUGGGACAAGGGUAGAUAAACCCAAGCCACAGCUGUCCAUCUGGCCCCCUCUUGUCCCCCCACCUCCCCUCCCCCACCCAAGAGACUCCCACGGCCUCUCCCUGAUCCUCUCAAGCAAUACAGUAGGCGGUGGUUGUUUUUAAUGCUUGGUUCAGGAUUCACAAUGAUAAGUGCUGUGAAGAAAAAAGGAGUUGAUCACUUCAUCCUUUCCUUUCUUCCUAGAGAUGUUUUCCCUGACUUCAAAGACCAUCUGUUUACCUUAGAUGAUUAGGGAGGAUUAAUGGAACUAAUUGUGUUAACAAUAUGACUGUCUUGCUGAAGCCUGCAAAUUGGCCCUGAUUCCCUGCAAUUGCCUCGAGAUUACCUCACCACCACCAAACCCAGUAAGCUUCCCUAUGACCAUGCUAGGCUGUGCCCCAGUAGCAAACCAGAGCGCAAGCUCAACACUGCAGGGAUGGAGGCUGGGACAGCCUCCCGAGAGUGAAACAAGCCUGCCAACCUCCCAGCAGUGCCAAGGAAAAGCCCACCAUCCAAUGCGCAUACUCUGGAAGUGCAAAGCUUGUCCACAUCAGCUGAGCCAGAUGCCCUGUGCUCACGCACCCCUGGGGCUGUAACCCUCUGGCUGGCAUCUGUUGUUACAAAGACUCCACCAGCACAGGAACAGAAACAGCUGCCCAGAGCACACAUGUCUCAGAUGCCUCUGUGGCUGCCAGCACCAGAACUGGGUGAGCCCUCAGAGGUGCAACUGGGCUUAGGCAACAACCUGGGAAAUAAACAAAACGCAGCCAGAGGAAGGUAGGGAAAACCUGAAGUUGUUUGUCAUAGACAGACAGACCGAAGAUGCUCUUCUCAGAAGCCUGCAAGGAGUAAACCAAGCAGCCUGGGGCUGGGGUGGGGGUGGGGGGGGAGGGCAUGGCCCACUCACGGCUGCCUUUCUGCCUCUCCCCUCCCCCUGAAUUUAUCACUGUGGAUGUGACUCCUGGGAUGUAACACAGACCCUAGUACCCAAUUAGCCAAAUAGAAGAAAAUCCACCACUGGCUUCUCGCAAGUCAAGUUACUCAGAUUCUUUAAUUUCCUAACUUCAGGGGACCCAAAGUUAGCAAGAAGCUUUCUGAGAGAGUGAAUUCAAUAGUUCAGCCCUUUGGUGUGAACUAUUUUCGAACAAAUUCCAACUUCUUUUCAUCCAGAAAGAGCAAAGGAUCAAAGUUACUGCUGAUCAACCUGGCAGCCCCAGGUGUGUUGUUUGAGGCAGUGGGAAGGAUGCGGCUGUCGGGCCAAGGUCUCAAGCCUUGAGAAUUGCUGUCUGGGAGUUCCACGCAAUGCUCAGGGCCCUAGUGGAGUUCAAUUCCUUCUCUGGCAGAUUCAAGAGCAAUCUCACUUACCUGGUGUUAUAUUUUGCUUGGGCUGUUACAUAUGAAUCAUAGGAUACGGAUAAUUAUUAACAUGAGUUUAUGUUCUGCCUAAGAGAAGCACUGCCAAAGUUAAAAGUUAAGAAACAACUCUCCUUACAGAGAGAGAAGGUUAAAAAGCAAACACUCCUAACCAAGAGAGAAAAGAGAAGUUGGUCUUAUGAGAAAGAUUUAGCCCCCGAUUAUGUCAUGGAUUCACACCUCUAACCCCACAGCAUCCCCAACUGCACCCUUCCCACCACUUCAGUGGCCAAGCCAGCUGAGUCAACCAGGUUGAAAGUGCAAAGCCCAGUGACACAAAGCUCUCUACUGCCCAGCAUCCUUACAGGGCCUCCACACCCAGGAAAAAGGAAGAAAGUAGCCAUGCAGAGCUGGGGAUCCUUGGCUGUUCUUCACGUCCAAUAACAAACUCAUCCAUAGACAACCUCCACAGUGCAGGCAGGAUGUGGGCCGCUCCAGCAGGAGCACGGCGGCCCUGACCUCAUCUGCUGGGACCACUAGUGGGCGCAUGAUUUUGGCUGCUUUCUAAUUUCUCAAGAGCCACAGCACUUCGCUCCAGGGUUGGCUCAAGUUUCAUUCUCUGGAAACCAGCUGCUCUUAAAAUGCCCUGGGCCUUCCCCAAACUAUAAAAUUACUCUUCUCCCCUCUGGAGAUGACUGGAACGUUAGCUUUCCUGUCUCUCUGUGCCUUUGUACACACUCGUAUUUUAUAUACACAAUAGCCGAUAUAUGCUGACUUGACACAAUUACUUCUGAAAAGAUAUAUACAAAGAACUGGGAAAGAGAGAGUGCUGGACAAGGGCCAGCACGCUUUGCAGCCCAUCCUCUCAGGCCCUACACUUGGAGCCAUCUCUCUGUGCUCCCACACUCUGCCCCUCUGACCUUAGCAGUCACCCCAAAAUCCUUCUUCAUAAGCUUCUGUGCCUACACUUUGGUUCCAUUUCCACCCCUGGUGCCAGUUCUCAUAGAAUCGCCUUCUAGAUCUUUCCUGACGCUCAGCACUCCUAAUCCCCUCCUGGAAAUCCAAUACACUGAUGUACAAUACAGUCGUCAUCAUGACAACCUCUUUAACCAAAACUUCCCUGUCCACAGGGUGACAUUCAGCCCCUCAACAUGGCAGCUCACUUCCUCUACACUGUCCCCCGUGUUCCCUGGGUGCCCCUGCAAAUGCCCAGCACUGAGAUAGGCUCACGUAGCCACCAUCCUGCCCAAGCACCCCCACACAAGUGCCUUACACUGGGCUCCAGUGCAUUCCUUCCCAGGACCCAGCCUGUCUCCUCCAGCAUUGUCCAUCUGAGCCAUCCCUCUGGGAUUGAGCAUCAUUGAGGUUGGCAGGAACUCUCUUCUCACCUGCACUACCCAUCCCCACAGGUAACUUUUCAGGGGCAUCGCCUACUCUAUAUCCACCCACCUCCCGAACCCCAUCCCUUGGCUUCUAGGCAACCCACAAAGGAGCUCCUUAAUAAACAUUUAUUUGCGGCUUGAUUUCACUCCAGGCUGUGAUGCUCCAUCUUUUCCUUUAGAAUCUGUAACUUAGGAGAGAGAAUUGCUUCAACUUCUAGGUGUUCAAUGUUGAAUAAAGUGACUCGACGUAAAUAAUAAUCUUGCGGUGCUACAGCUCCUUUCCAUCAAUCAACUGGUUUCUAAAUAAUUAUAAAAAGGUAGUGUGCCUACCGCCUAUGAGAUUACCAUAGGGCAUGGGUUGGUGGGGAGCUUGAAGGGGUGAAUUAACCCAGAUGAGCCUUUGAAGUUCUGAACACAGAAAAUCUCCAACCUCCCUACCCUGAGCUUGGCUCCCCAAACCCUAGAGGCUAAAGAUGCUGGCCUCUCUGCAGCCUGUGUUAGAUGAUGUCCCCAGAACUAAACAAGCUCUCUGGAGGUGUGGGAGCUGCAAGUAGGACCUCAUGAGAUUUCAGGUGGUUGUCAUGGGGGAGAAAGGCCCGGAGGCCAGGGUAAGAAACUAAAGUCCACUUGACCCAGGACAAUCUCUCGGAGCCUUAACUGCUUCAACCGUAAACUCCCACAGUGGCAGGGAAGAGCUCUGCAGCAAUCAUACCUAAACCAGAAUGUUUAGAAUAAACAAGAACUCAACAAAUGAAGAGAAGGAAGCUUUUGGUUUGAAAACUUCAAUGGGCCUUUGGGUCCUGGAUCAAGACGUAAGGAAUCCAAAAUAUGGCGCAAAUGAACCUAUCUACAAAACAGAAACAGACUCACGGACAUAGAGAACAGACAUGUGGUUGCCAAGAGGAAGGAGGGAGGGAGUGAAAUGGACUGGGAGUUUGGGAUUGGUAGAUGCAAACUAUUACAUUUAGAAUAGAUAAGCAAUGAGGGGAUGUCCAGUAUCUUGGGAUAGACAAUGAGGAAGAUAACAUGAGAAAAAGAAUGUAUAUAUAUGUAUGACUGGGUCACUAUGCCGUACAGCAGAAAUUGGCGCAACGUUGUAAAUCAACUAUACUCUAAUAAUAAUAAAAAAAAAAAAAA